UAGGGAAUAUUGGACAAUGGGGGCAACCCUGAUCCAGCCAUGCCGCGUGAGUGAAGAAGGCCCUCGGGUUGUAAAGCUCUUUUGUCCGGAAAGAAAAGCUUCGGGUUAAUACCCCGGGGUUCUGACGGUACCGGAAGAAUAAGCACCGGCUAACUUCGUGCCAGCAGCCGCGGUAAUACGAAGGGUGCAAGCGUUACUCGGAAUUACUGGGCGUAAAGCGUGAGUAGGUGGUUGUUUAAGUCUGAUGUGAAAGCCCUGGGCUCAACCUGGGAAUGGCAUUGGAAACUGGGCAGCUAGAGUGCGGUAGAGGGUAGUGGAAUUCCCGGUGUAGCAGUGAAAUGCGUAGAGAUCGGGAGGAACAUCUGUGGCGAAGGCGACUGCCUGGACCAGCACUGACACUGAGGCACGAAAGCGUGGGGAGCAAACA
rnacentral:rRNA from 1 species